rnacentral:rRNA from 1 species
CCUACGGGAGGCAGCAGUGGGGAAUAUUGGGCAAUGGGCGCAAGCCUGACCCAGCAACGCCGCGUGACGGCAGCAGGCUUUCGGGUUGUAAACUUCUUUUGUCAGGGACGAAGCCAGUGACGGUACCUGACGAAUAAGCCCCGGCUAACUACGUACCAGCCGCCGCGGUAAUACGUAGGUGGCAAGCGUUAUCCGGAUUUACUGGGUGUAAAGGGCGUGUAGGCGGGGAAGCAAGUCAGAUUUGAAAACCACGGGCUCAACUUGUGGCCUGGAUUUGAAACUGUUAUUCGUGAGUGCUGGUGAGGCGAUCGGAAUUCCGUGUGUAGCGGGGAAAUGCGGAG